GACGAACGCUGGCGGCGUGCUUAACACAUGCAAGUCGAACGGAAAGGCCCUGCUUUUGUGGGGUGCUCGAGUGGCGAACGGGUGAGUAACACGUGAGUAACCUGCCCUUGACUUUGGGAUAACUUCAGGAAACUGGGGCUAAUACCGGAUAGGAGCUCCUGCUGCAUGGUGGGGGUUGGAAAGUUUCGGCGGUUGGGGAUGGACUCGCGGCUUAUCAGCUUGUUGGUGGGGUAGUGGCUUACCAAGGCUUUGAUGGGUAGCCGGCCUGAGAGGGUGACCGGCACGGUUGGGACUGAGACGGGGCCCAGCCUCGGGGGGGAGGGAGCAGUGGGGAAAAUGGCGAAGGGGCGGAGGCCCGUACGCGGCGGCGCCCGGUGGGGGGUGAGGGCCUUCGGUUAGUAACCCGGUUCCGCCUGGGACGUGGGGGGGGUGACGGUAGUGGGAAAAGAAGCGCCGGCUAACUACGUG
rnacentral:rRNA from 1 species